rnacentral:rRNA from 1 species
UGUAAGCCAGGUUGGUUUCUAUCUUUUAAAAAAUAAAAUAUUUUAGUACGAAAGGAUUGAAUAUUUUAAUUAAAUUAAAUUAUUAUUUAUUUUGAUUAUUAUUAAAAAUUUAUAUUUAUUUAUUUAUAAAAAAAAUUAUUUAAA